ACAAAAAUAUAUUGCAGUAUAUUGGAAAAUAUCAUGUAAUAUAUUAGGCAACAUAUUCCCAUAUAUGGGAUUUAAUAUUUAUAUUUUCCAAUAUAUUGAAAUAUAUGCAUGAAACAUACAUGUAUAUAUGAGACAAAAUAUAUUGCAUUCAAGAACAAAAAGGGCACUAUAUUUUUUACAUGUAAUAGUUUGUCUUUAUAUGCUUUAAUAUAUUGCUAUAUAUGCAUAGACCAUACAUGUAUAUAUGAGACAAAAUAUAUUGCAAUCAAGAACAAAAAGGGCACUAUAUUUUUUACAUGUUAUAGUUUGUCUUUAUAUGCUUUGAUAUAUUGCAAUAUAUGCAUAAACCAUACAUGUAUAUAUGAGACAAAAUAUAUUGCAAUCAAGAACAGAAAGGGCAAUGUAUUUUUUACAUGUAAUAGUUUGUCUUUAUAUGCUUUGAUAUAUUGCAAUAUAUGCAUGAAACAUACAUUUAUAUAUGAUACAAAAUAUAUUGCAAUCAAGAACAAAAAGGGCACUAUAUUUUUUAUAUAUAUAUAUAAAAAAUGCUCGAGUAGGAAGCUGAGAUUCAGGCGCGAAGAGAGGACAGGAUGCGUAACAGACACCAGCAACAAGGAGGCUGAUAGAUAGGUCCUGACCUAUGAUCCUGACCCACACUCCUAAUCAGUAGGUGGCGGUAAUGCCACUAAAAGUUGUUUGCCAACUGCCAGUAAAACUCAAGAAGAAGAAGAAGAAGGCUGAUGUCAGCAGGCUCCAAGGAAACUUCAAGUUUUAAAAGAUGCUGUUUUAAAACACUUUCCUAUAAGGCCAAGGAAGCUGAUGUCAGAAAAUCUAUCAACAGUAGAAUCUGCGAGCUAAUGGCAUUAAGACACCAGGUGAAGAGCAAAAGCAUGGGUAUGUAAGUGGUUUACAUCAGUGAAGAACCAAGGUGGACUCCUAACCAGGAUAAUGGACUGUUCUUUUGGCAAAUUUUUUUUUUUUUUGCUUUUUCAUGGUUCCCAAAACUUCUUGAAAGUUUGUUUAUUAUUUAUUUGUUCAUUAUUGUCUGUGCAUUUUGUUUAUUGAUAUUGUCUUUAUUGAUAUUGUCAUAUUGUAUAAUGGCACUGCUGAAAUUUUGAAAUGGACAUUGGUAAUUUAAGUUGCUUUAAUUUAUAUUUUGUAUAUUUUUUGUUUAAUGGCACUCUUUUAAAAUGUAAUUUAUGUAAAUGCAAUGCAACACAUUUAUGUAAUGUAAUGUAAAGCCAAUCACAUUUCCUUUGACUGACCAUAUGCAAAACCUCUUGUGGUUUUAAUAGGCCUAUAGAGCUCUGUACCUCAAAUUGGGUUUAGUAUCUGUGCCUGAUUAAAAGAAAAUAAAGGUGGCUUUUGAUAGAUUA